rnacentral:rRNA from 1 species
GAGUUUGAUCUUGGCUCAGAGCGAACGCUGGCGGCAGGCUUAACACAUGCAAGUCGAGCGGGCCCUUCGGGGUCAGCGGCGGACGGGUGAGUAACGCGUGGGAACGUGCCUUCUGGUUCGGAAUAACCCUGGGAAACUAGGGCUAAUACCGGGAUACGCCCUUUUGGGGAAAGGUUUACUGCCGGAAGAUCGGCCCGCGUCUGAUUAGCUAGUUGGUGGGUAAUGGCCUACCAAGGCGACGAUCAGUAGCUGGUCUGAGAGGAUGAUCAGCCACACUGGGACUGAGACACGGCCCAGACUCCUACGGGAGGCAGCAGUGGGGAAUAUUGGACAAUGGGCGCAAGCCUGACCCAGCCAUGCCGCGUGAGUGAUGAAGGCCUUAGGGUUGUAAAGCUCUUUUAUCCGGGACGAUAAUGACGGUACCGGAGGAAUAAGCCCCGGCUAACUUCGUGCUAGCCGCCGCUGUAAG